GACGAACGCUGGCGGCGCGCCUAACACAUGCAAGUCGAACGAGAGAGAGGGAGCUUGCUUCCUCAAUCGAGUGGCGAACGGGUGAGUAACGCGUGAGGAACCUGCCUCAAAGAGGGGGACAACAGUUGGAAACGACUGCUAAUACCGCAUAAGCCCACGGGUCGGCAUCGACCAGAGGGAAAAGGAACAAUCCGCUUUGAGAUGGCCUCGCGUCCGAUUAGCUAGUUGGUGAGGUAACGGCCCACCAAGGCGACGAUCGGUAGCCGGACUGAGAGGUUGAACGGCCACAUUGGGACUGAGACACGGCCCAGACUCCUACGGGAGGCAGCAGUGGGGAAUAUUGCACAAUGGGGGAAACCCUGAUGCAGCGACGCCGCGUGGAGGAAGAAGGUCUUCGGAUUGUAAACUCCUGUUGUUGAGGAAGAUAAUGACGGUACUCAACAAGGAAGUGACGGCUAACUACGUGCCAGCAGCCGCGGUAAAACGUAGGUCACAAGCGUUGUCCGGAAUUACUGGGUGUAAAGGGAGCGCAGGCGGGAAGACAAGUUGGAAGUGAAAUCCAUGGGCUCAACCCAUGAACUGCUUUCAAAACUGUUUUUCUUGAGUAGUGCAGAGGUAGGCGGAAUUCCCGGUGUAGCGGUGGAUUGCGUAGAUAUCGGGAGGAACACCAGUGGCGAAGGCGGCCUACUGGGCACCAACUGACGCUGAGGCUCGAAAGUGUGGGUAGCAAACAGAGAGUCGAUCCCCUGGUCAUCCACACUGUAAACGAUGAUUACUAGGUGUUGGAGGAUUCACCCCUUCAGUGCCGCAGUUAACACAAUAAGUAAUCCACCUGGGGAGUACGACCGCAAGGUUGAAACUCAAAGGAAUUGACGGGGGCCCGCACAAGCAGUGGAGUAUGUGGUUUAAUUCGACGCAACGCGAAGAACCUUACCAAGUCUUGACAUCCUGCGACGGUGCUGGAAACAGUACUUUCCUUCGGGACGCAGAGACAGGUGGUGCAUGGUUGUCGUCAGCUCGUGUCGUGAGAUGUUGGGUUAAGUCCCGCAACGAGCGCAACCCUUAUGGUCAGUUACUACGCAAGAGGACUCUGGCCAGACUGCCGUUGACAAAACGGAGGAAGGUGGGGAUGACGUCAAAUCAUCAUGCCCUUUAUGACUUGGGCUACACACGUACUACAAUGGCGUUAAACAAAGAGAAGCAAGACCGCGAGGUGGAGCAAAACUCAGAAACAACGUCCCAGUUCGGACUGCAGGCUGCAACUCGCCUGCACGAAGUCGGAAUUGCUAGUAAUCGCAGAUCAGCAUGCUGCGGUGAAUACGUUCCCGGGCCUUGCACA
rnacentral:rRNA from 1 species